UACGAAGGGGGCGAGCGUUGUUCGGAAUUACUGGGCGUAAAGCGCGUGUAGGCUGCUCGGAAAGUCGGAUGUGAAAGCCCUGGGCUUAACCUAGGAAGUGCAUUCGAAACUUCCGAGCUGGAGUUCUGGAGAGGAAGGCGGAAUUCUCGGUGUAGAGGUGAAAUUCGUAGAUAUCGAGAGGAACACCGGUGGCGAAGGCGGCCUUCUGGACAGUGACUGACGCUGAGACGCGAAAGCGUGGGUAGCAAACAGG
rnacentral:rRNA from 1 species